UACGGAGGGUACAAACGUUGUCCGGAAUCACUGGGCGUAAAGCGCAUGUAGGUGGUUCUAUACGUGGACGAUUAAAGACCGACGCUCAACGUCGGGACUGUUGUCCACACGGUAGAACUCGAGGAAAGCAGGGGUAAGCGGAACUUUGAGUGUAGGAGUGAUAUCCGUAGAUAUUCAAAGGAACACCAAUGGCGAAGGCAGCUUACUGGGCUUUUUCUGACACUGAGAUGCGAAAGCGUGGGGAGCAAACGGG
rnacentral:rRNA from 1 species